GUGUCAGCCGCCGCGGUAAGACGAACCGUACGAACGUUAUUCGGAAUCACUGGGCUUAAAGGGUGCGUAGGCUGUGCGGAAAGUUGGGUGUGAAAUCCCUCGGCUUAACCGAGGAACUGCGCCCAAAACUACCGUGCUCGAGGGAGACAGAGGUGAGCGGAACUUAGGGUGGAGCGGUGAAAUGCGUUGAUAUCCUAAGGAACACCGGUGGCGAAAGCGGCUCACUGGGUCUCUUCUGACGCUGAGGCACGAAAGCUAGGGGAGCGAACGGGAUUAGAUACCCUCGUAGUCC
rnacentral:rRNA from 1 species